rnacentral:lncRNA from 13 species
GAUUGACAGUUAUUUUCUUUCAGCACAUUACCAAUAUGUUUCCAUUAUCUUCUGGAUUUUAUCUCUCCUAUUGGAAAGUCAGUGAUGAGUAGCUGAUUCUGGAGCCUAGGUUCUUGCUUCCUGGUCUGGCGAUGAGUCCUCCAUAGUCUGGUGAGUGUAGUGGCCAACUCUAAAGCCCAGGCUGUU